AUUGAACGCUGGCGGCAUGCCUUACACAUGCAAGUCGAACGGUAACGGGCCUUCGGGUGCCGACGAGUGGCGAACGGGUGAGUAAUACAUCGGAACGUGCCCGAUCGUGGGGGUUAACGAGGCGAAAGCUUUGCUAAUACCGCAUACGAUCUACGGAUGAAAGCAGGGGACCGCAAGGCCUUGCGCGGACGGAGCGGCCGAUGGCAGAUUCGGUAGAUGGUGGGAUAAAAGCUUACCAAGCCGACGAUCUGUAGCUGGUCUGAGAGGAUGAUCAGCCACACUGGGAGUGAGACACGGCCCAGACUCCUACGGGAGGCAGCAGUGGGGAAUUUUGGACAAUGGGCGCAAGCCUGAUCCAGCCAUGCCGCGUGCAGGAUGAAGGCCUUCGGGUUGUAAACUGCUUUUGUACGGAACGAAAAGCCUUCUUUUAAUACAGGAGGGUCAUGACGGUACCGUAAGAAUAAGCACCGGCUAACUACGUG
rnacentral:rRNA from 1 species